GCCUAGGGGCGCCUGGGUGGCGCAGUUGGUUAAGCGUCCGACUUCAGCCAGGUCACGAUCUCGCGGUCUGUGAGUUCGAGCCCCGCGUCAGGCUCUGGGCUGAUGGCUCGGAGCCUGGAGCCUGUUUCCGAUUCUGUGUCUCCCUCUCUCUCUGCCCCUCCCCCGUUCAUGCUCUGUCUCUCUCUGUCCCAAAAAUAAAUAAAAAAUUAAAAAAAAAAAAAAAGAGGCAGAGGUGCCUCCUUCAUGUUCUUUUUUCCCCCUCCCUCUAGCUGGAUUCCCCAGGCAACCAACAGUGAAGGAUGACUGAACUUGGAGAUGGAAGGAAUCUGGGUCUCUCAAUUACCAUGUGGAAGCAAGGGAAGCGACAGGCCACCCUCCCUCAGGACACUUCCCGGAUGUGGAGCCAAAGUAAACCAACGGAGCUUCUCCAGAGGAUGCUUCAAGGCUACGGCAAACGCUGGCUAUUGCAGACAAAGGAACGGGCCAGUGGGAGAUGUUUUUGUUUAAGUACCUAAGACAGUCACAAAUUCUACCGCAAGUAUCACCAUCGGCUCUGUUUGCACAGACAAACAAAUCUCUGAAAUCUACCUUUUUAAAUGGAGGAAUGCUCCAAGUUUACUGUCAGCAGCUGACUCGCAGGGAUGCCACAGGCCAGGAGCAAGCUGUCACUGUAUUAGCCUCUGGCUUGUCCUUGGCAUGGAGAAGCCUUCUUUUUUCCCUCUGUCUACAUGGAAGCUUCAUGGCUCAGUGGAAAGAGACCAGGUUUGGACACAGGCACAAUUCAGCCUAGGUUGGUAAACUCGGGCCAAUGUACAAAUCCUAUGUGUUGCCUUUUUUUGGAUCACCCAUGAACUAAGAAUAGAUUUUGCAUGUUUAAAUUUUUUUUAAAAGUUUAUUUAUAUUCGAGAGACAGCAAGAGACAGAGCACGAGCAGAGGAGAGGCAGAGAAACAGGGAGGCACAGAAUCCGAAGCAGGCUCCAGGCUCUGAGAUGUCAGCACAGAGCCCGACGCGGGGCUGGAACUCACGAACUCCAAGAUCAUCACCUGAGCGGAAGUCGGACGCUUAACUGACUGAGCCACCCGGGGGCCCCUAGAUUUUACAUGUUUAAAUGGUUGAGGGUUACCUGGGUGGCUCAGUCGGUUAAGCAUCCGACUCAGCUCAGGUCGUGAUCUCACAGUUUGUGGGUUUGAGCCCCACGUCGGGCUCUGUGCUGACUGCUCAGAACCUGAAGCCUGCUUCAGAUUGUGUGUCCCUCUCCCUCUGCCCCUCCCCGCUCACAUUCUGUCUCUCUCUCUCAAAAACAAAUAAACACUGAAAAAUGUUUAAAUGGUUGAAAAAA
rnacentral:lncRNA from 1 species